rnacentral:misc_RNA from 1 species
UAAAAAUAAAAUUGUACCCAUAAGAAUUCUACUAACAAAAAAUUUAAAUAAAUUAAAGUGACAUUACCCCGCUAACCUUGACUUGGUAGCACUUAUUAAAUUAGUGUAUGUGUGCAGUUUUCGUAUUUUGAAAUUCAUUCAAUAAUUUUCGCUUGAUUCCUUCAUUCGGUUAAAUUUAAUAAUUUUCUUAAUAAAAUGUGGAUCUUAACAAAUAACACAGGUAAUGUCCUUAUUGUAAUUAGCGAAAAAUCCAAAUACACUGUGGGACGAGUCGGAGCAGAUUUGGUUAUAACAGACGACUCUUCAAUAAGUCGCACACACGCUUUCUUGCAUAUUACUACAAAGCAGACUACAGGUGAUACAACAAAAGAAAUACUUGAGCUUGAGGACGCCUGCUCUAAGUACGGUACAUUCCAUAAUGGGAGUAUCGAGAAAGGUGCCAGUUUACCCAAACAUAAACGAAUAGUUUUGGCGGACGGUGAUCGUAUACGUUUCGGUGUUUUAAAAAGCUUAUGGACUGUAUCAAAUAAAACUCCAAUUGUUGCCAUAUCCGCUUUACCUGAUGAAAUGACCAAUCAAUUAAAACAAUUGUUACCCAUACUUGGUGGUUGCAUUCUACCUAAUUUCGAAGAAUCAUACAACCACCUAACAUUGAAAGAGAUAAAUGUGACAUCAAAACUAUUGCAUGCCCUCCUUGAUCAAAAGCCUAUUGUUACUUGCGACUACUGGUGUAAUCUAGUACAGGCUGCUCGGCGUGGACGUCGUUUGUUACCACAAAUUGCCUCUUAUAUGCCACCAAAUCCUCAUAAUUUCGAUAUAGAAUAUCGUGAAGCGAGGAAAACUGUUUUCAAAAAUUUAACAUUUGUGUUUUUACAUGCUCGUCAUUUUAAUACGUACGCAUGCAUAGUAGAAAAAGCUGGAGGAACGAGUAAACAUUUAAAUGUGGGACUACAAAAAUCUUUUCUCAUUAGAAAAGAUGUAGUUGUUGUUCAUUACGUACCCUCCAUGGAAUCGCAAAGCUCACAAACAAUUAGUACUAUCGAAGAUUAUCUUAAACUUCAUUCACGACGUACUGUGCCUGAAUACGAGAUCGCUAUGGCAAUAAUAAGCUGUUCGACAACAAGGCACUGUAACCCAAGCUACAAGGUAGAUGACGAAACAUCCCAAGCCACCAAAUCAAAUGACACUGAUGUGUUGCAAAGUACUAUACAAAGGUUUUCUAGUCAUACUAAUUUGUCUGAUACAUUAGGGGACGAAGAAACAGAAGUCUUUAUACCGGAAACGGACCGUAAAAGCACUGCCAGCACACAUUUGACAGACAAAUCGUCCGUAGGUUUAUCUACACCACGGGUCGACCAAAUCAAUUCCAUACACUCUCAAAUUUUUGAAACAAGGGUAAGUAAUUCAAAUGAGGAGGUGAUGUCUUCACAUCAAAUCACUGAAAGUGAACAAGAAGUUAAUAAGCGCAAACGAACGAGGGGAAAACGACAAAGCCCUUCAACUGUAGUUAAUACUGACAUGGAUAGCGAUGAAGAUGAGCUGUUCAAUUUUGCCACUAAAAAGGCACAUGUCGAAGAAAGGAAAGCAUCACCAAUCGUACGGGCAACUAGACAGCAAAGGAAAUCAAAUUGUUCACCCCUUGAUGAAAAUGCGUCAACAUCUGCUGCUGCUACUUCGAAGCAAACUCCUAAAUCUUGCGGUAAGGAGUUGCCAAUAGCUAUCAACAAAAAGACAACGAGGAAAACUGUGAUAAAUAUGUCUGGCUUCCUAGAAAAGACUCAUGCUCCUAUCCAAAAUAUGCAAAAGCCAAAUGCCGAUGUACAAAAUAUUUCAAUUCAAGAUUCCCUCUUGCAAAAGGGCGUCAAGCGUGCCAGAGUGGCUAUUAUAGACAACAGUGAUGAUGAUGAUUUGUUUUGCUUUGGUGGAAAAAGCCAUACGAAUGAGGAUUCGAGUUCAGCUAAGCGAGCACGUCCUGGAGCUGAUAGUUGCGAUUCGGAUGAAUCGGAUCUUUUCAACUUUGGGUGUGGUGAUGAUGAUGAGCAAAAUGAUCUCAAUGAUGAAAUUGAUGGUGAUUCCUGCAAAGAGCCAAUGAUACAAAAAGAAAAGUUUCACCAAAUAGUUAUGCCAAAGCCAAAACCAUUACCAGCAAAAAUUUGUGUUGCAGAUUGGCUCGACUGUUCAUUAAGUGCUUUGAGCAUUAAAUCAGAACAAGUAAAAGACGCAUUAGAUACUGAGAAAAAAGAAAAUAAUGACUCAGGUGUAGAGGGUGAUGGUAAAGAUGAACCAAUAAAAGGUGGAUGUGUCAUUACGGUACUAAGCACAAAAACAUUAAUGCAGGAAAGAGAUGUGAGAAAAGGAAGCAUGAUGCAGAACAACCAAGGCAAAGAGUAUAACUCAACUACCAAAAACUUUAAAAAAUUUACAAAGCUCGAUCGCUAAUGCUGGUGAUAACAUCGGUCAAUAUUGCUUGCCACCAUGCCUUUUGAUUUUAUAUACUUUAUGAAGGAGAGAGCCUUAUGAUCUCAGUACUUUCCUUUUCUCUACAACUCAUGCAGAAGUCAUUCUGUAGUACGCCCAAUAAGCCAAGUAAGCACGCAGACCUAAAA